UUUUACUGCAGGCUUAAAAAUAUUUUAUUAUGAAGAAUUUUAAAUAUAAAAACAUUUUGUUUCAGAAUAUGCCACUCCUCGUAUUAGAGUCGCCAUUGUCACCUCCUUGCCCCCCAUUUUCCUUUUUGGGGGGCAGGGUUGGUUAUGAUUAUUAUUUUAAAAUACAAGGGCCAAUAGUAGUUAUCUACAAAGUACCGUUACUAUAGUGCAGGUAGUUUUGCAAAACAUAUCAACAAG